rnacentral:rRNA from 1 species
UACGGAGGGUGCAAGCGUUGCUCGGAAUCAUUGGGCGUAAAGCGCGUGUAGGCGGCUAUCUAAGUCUGAUGUGAAAUCCUGGGGCUUAACCCCAGAACUGCAUUGGAUACUGGAUAGCUAGAGGACGAGAGAGGAUGGUGGAAUUCCUGGUGUAGGGGUGAAAUCCGUAGAUAUCAGGAGGAACAUCAGUGGCGAAGGCGGCCAUCUGGCUCGUACCUGACGCUGAGACGCGAAAGCGUGGGUAGCAAACAGG